GCGAAACCUGUCAAGGAGGGACUUCCGGCGUUCUCCCGGCGGCGGUCAUUUUGGUGACCAUGGGUCGGUCGGCUUGAUCCGGUUAUGCAGCUCUUGGUCCGGCCCGAGGUUUCCAUGGCUUCAGAAGCAUUUCAUGAGCAAUGUAUAGGAGUAGGCUGAGUGCAGCAGACUGGUUUGAUGUAAACAAAACCCAGAAACCCAUCUGCUCUUCUCCUUGGACACAGAGCUAAACCUCAGUUCCCAGCUGCAUCGAAAGAGGGAUACAGACUCACAGACAUAGAGAACAAGCUUGUGGCUGCCAAGGGGGAGGGCGGGGUGGGGGAGGGAUGGAUUG